rfam:[Clostridium] litorale DSM 5388 strain W6 CLIT_18c, whole genome shotgun sequence.
UCUGGUUACUAUAGCAAGGAGGAUACACCUGUUCCCAUACCGAACACAGAAGUUAAGCUCCUUAGCGCCGAAGGUACUCGGACCGGAAGGUCCCGGGAGAAUAGGCCGUAGCCAGGU